CUGAGUUCCGGAAUACCUUCACCUGGGCAACAUGCUCCCAGUUAGCAUCAUAUCUCCUGGCAUUUUCAGCUAACUUCCAUGUUCUCUCAUAUCCCAAGUAAAAUGGGUAUGUACACAUGAACACAAUUAUACAUACAUGUGGUCUCCCUCCCCUGUUUCUGAAAGAGAAAGAAUGCUGCUCUGAAGCUGUUUCCGAAAGGGAAAGAAUGUUGUGGG